rnacentral:rRNA from 1 species
UUCGGCAGCCAUAUCACCCUGUAGCCCAAGCCUGGUUGCCCACUGAAGCUAAGCAGGGCUGGAGCCUGGUCAGUACCUGGAUGGGAGACCUCCUGGGAAAACUAGGUUGCUGCUGGAA